AUGGCAGAGGGUUUCUAUGGGGUAUUAUGGGAUGGCAGGGGGUCCCUAUGGGUCUCUAUGGGGGCUAUGGGGCUCUAUGGGUCCCUAUGGGGUCUCUAUGGGGGCUCUUUGGGGGCUAUGGGGCUCUAUGGGGUCUCUAUGGGGCCUAUGGGGUCUCUAUGGUGCUCUAUGGGGUCUCUAUGGGUCUCUAUAGGGUCUCUAUGGGGUCUUUAUGGGGUUCUAUGGGUCCCUAUGGAUCCCUAUGGGGUCUCUUUGGGCUCUAUGGGGUCUUUAUGGGGUUCUAUGGGGUCCCUAUGGGGUCUCUAUGAGUCUCAAUGGGUCUCAAUGGGGUCUUUAUGGGGUUCUAUGGGGCUCUAUGAGGUCUCUAUGGAUCCCUAUGGGGUCUUUUGGGGGCUCUAUGGGGUUCUAUGGGGCUAUGGGUCUCUGUGGGUCUCUAUGGGGCUCUAUGGAGUCUAUGGGGUCUUUAUGGGGUCUAUGGGGUCUCUAUGGGGUCUUUAUGGGGUCCCUAUGGGGUCUCUAUGGGUCUCUAUGGGGCUCUAUGGGGUCUAUAGGGUCUUAAAGGGGUUCUAUGGGGCUCUAUGGGGUCUUUAUGGGUCUCUAUGGGGCUCUAUGGGGCUCUAUGGGGUCUUUAUGGGGUUCUAUGGGGUCUCUAUGGGGCUCUAUGGGGUUCUAUGGGGUCUCUAUGGGGUCUCUAUGGGGUUUCUAUGGGGUCUCUAUGAGUCUCUAUGGGGUCUUAAAGGGGUUCUAUGGGUCUUUAUGGGGCUCUAUGGGGUCUCUAUGGAUCUCUAUGGGGUCUGUAUGGGGUCCUAUGGGGUCUCUAUGGGGCUCUAUGGGGUCUCUAUGGGGUCUUUAUGGGGUCCCUAUGAGUCUCUAUGGGUCUCUAUGGGGUCUAUAGGGUCUUAAAGGGGUUCUAUGGGGCUCUAUGGGGUCUUUAUGGGGCUCUAUGGGGUCUCUAUGGAUCCCUAUGCGUCCCUAUGGGGUCUCUAUGGGGUCUAUGGGGUCUCUAUGGGGCUCUAUGGGGUCUAUAGGGUCUUAAAGGGGUUCUAUGGGGUUCUAUGGGGUCUCUAUGGGGUCUCAAUGGGUCUCAAUGGGUCCCUAUGGGUCUCUAUGGGGCCCUAUGGGUCCCUAUGGGGUCUAUGGGGUCCCAUCCAUCCCAUAAUACCCCAUAUAUCCCAUAAUACCCCCAUCCACCCCAUAAUAUCCCCCUCCAUCCCAUAAUACCCGGCCGCCAUUUUGGACUUUGAUCCCCCCCGUCCGCCAUCUUGGAUUUAAGCUCCGCCCCUUUUUGGGGCCUGGUUUCUUUUUUAAGGUGAAACCGAGCGAUUUUGGUUAAAAAAAGCCCCAUUUUUACCUUUUUUCUUCAUUUUUUUCACCAUUUUGUUGCCUCCGAUCAUUUUUUGGGCUGAAAACGGCCAAUUUUAGGGGUUUGAGCCUCAAUUUUGGGGGAAAAUCACUAAUUUUGGGGCUGAUUGACAUUUCCUACCAGUUUUGCCCCAAAAUCCCCAUUUUUAUUGCUCAAAAAUCGCCAUUUUGACCCAAAAUUCCCAUUUUUCACUCUCAAAAAUCACCAUUUUUAAUUCAAGUCGCCAUUUUGACCCAAAUCCCCAUUUUCCAAUGUCAAAAAUCCCCAUUUUUAACCAAAAUCCCAAUUUUUUACCCCCCAAAAUCCCCAUUUUUUACCAAAAAUUCCCAUUUUUCAUCCUCAAAAUUCCCAUUUCUGCCCCAAAUUGCCCCAAAUCUUCAUUUUUCACUCCAAAAAUCCCCAUUUUUAACCAAAAUCCCCAUUUCUUAACCCUCCAAAUCUUCAUUUUUGCCCCCAAAAUCCCCAUUUUUCAUUCCCAAAAAUCCCCAUUUUGACCCAAAAACCCCAAUUUUUCAUCCUCAAAAUUCCCAUUUUGGCCCC
rnacentral:lncRNA from 1 species